AGACAAGCCGCUGUCUGGCCCGCCUUGGAGGCUCGGUCGCGGCGUCCACUUUCUCCUGUUAAUCUUUCUCACAUCAGCGAGAUUAUCAGACCCGCGAGGAACCGGGAGGGCAGAGGGUCCCGGGACCUGCCCGGCGCCCCCUCCUCCGCCCGCUGCCGCGCUGUGAGCCGAGAGAGAAUCUCCAACGUGCAAGACAAGUGGAGCUUCUCUGCCUCCGCCCGAGCUGAGGGAUGAAGCUGGGCCGAAUCAUCGAGUCACAGAGCCGAAGGAACCUUAGGAUCUCUCAGUGCUUUGACGUUAUAGACAAAGAAGCUGAAUUUCAAGGAAAUGUACUGUUUGCUGAAGGUUUGACCAAGGCACACUGAGCAGACCAGCUGGCUCCCCCCGAUUCAGUUCUGUCCCCUUCCCAGAGUUGGCCCCCCUUAGGGACUGGCUCGGCAAAGUCAUUCAUCAGGAACUUGCUUGCAGCUCAGCUACCCCCCUUGCUUCCUUGCUCAAGAUCCAUCUGUAGCUUCCCACUGACCUGCAGGCACAGAUUCCAUAGCAGAGCUUCCAACGCCAGACCCCUGCUCACCUGUCCUCACCUGCCAACCAACCUCUCCACCCUCUUUCAUCUCUGGAAUGCCUGCCCUGCCACUGCUCUCCACCUGCCCCUGCUGCCAAUUCCCAUCACCACUUCUCAUAAUUCCCAGCAUUCCUUGAGGUCCAGCUGGGACUCACAUCAUGACCCCUUUCCCAGAGGGGCACCUGGGGAUGACUCAGUCCCUUGUGACCUCGGCAUGCUGUCCCUUGACCUGGCCUCAUGUUCUGCCUUGCAUCAUUGCUGUUUAUUGAAAUCAGGCCUUUCUCCUCCCUGAGACUGUGCUGAGACUGUGCUCCCUGGGGUGAGGACCACAUCUAAUCUCUUUUGCGUUCCUUUCAUCCCCCCUCUGCCGCUGUGCAUAACAGUACUUGCAAAAAGUCUGAUGAAUGAAUGAGUGAAUGAAUGCUCUCAAAUCCAAGGGCAGC
rnacentral:lncRNA from 1 species